rnacentral:pre_miRNA from 16 species
CCUUGUGGUUCUGACUGUUUCAGUAGCUUAUAGCCGUGGGCGUAUAAGCUCGUGAUCAACAGGCAGGACCACUUG